rnacentral:misc_RNA from 1 species
AAGUCGUAACAAGGUUUUCGUAGGUGAACCUGCGAAAGGAUCAUUAAAGAGAUAGGGUUCUUUUGAGCCCGACCUCCAACCCUUAUGUUUACAUACCACUGUUGCCUCGGCGGGUCGCCGGCGCCCAAUCAAGGGCGCCGCCGUCGGCCUCGUGCUCUCGAGUGCCCGCCGCAGGACCAUAUAAAAACCCUUUGUUAACAAGUGUUCUGAGUGGAUUUUUAAUGCUUCAAAAAAAAACUUUCAACAACGGAUCUCUUGGUUCUG